rnacentral:rRNA from 1 species
AGGACGAACGCUGGCGGCGUGCUUAACACAUGCAAGUCGAACGAGGGUAUUGGAGAGCUUGCUCGAAGGUAACCCGAGUGGCGGACGGGUGAGUAACGCGUGAGCAACCUGUCUCACACAGGGGGAUAACGCAUCGAAAGAUGUGCUAAUACCGCAUGAGACCACGGAAGGACAUCCUUCAGGGGUCAAAGGAGGAAUCCGGUGUGAGGUGGGCUCGCGUCUGAUUAGAUAGUUGGUGAGGUAACGGCUCACCAAGCCAACGAUCAGUAGCCGACCUGAGAGGGUGAUCGGCCACAUUGGGACUGAGGCACGGCCCAGACUCCUACGGGAGGCAGCAGUGGGGAAUAUUGGGCAAUGGGCGCAAGCCCUGACCCAGCAACGCCGCGUGAGGGAAGAAGGUUUUCGGAUUGUAAACCUCUGUCCUGUAUGAAGAGAAGGAGACGGUAGUACAGGAGGAAGCCCCGGCUAACUACGUGCCAGCCGCAGC